rnacentral:rRNA from 1 species
GAUGAACGCUGGCGGCGUGCUUAACACAUGCAAGUCGAGCGAAAAGACGCGGAGCUUGCUGGUCGGACGAGUGCGGCGGAAGGGAGUGUCACACGAGGAAAGCCCACCUAUAGGAAAGGGAUAACUACGGGAAACAGGAGCUAAUACCGGAUAAUAUAUUGAACCGCAGGGUUAAAUGGUGAGAGAGGGCUUUGCGGUCACUUAUCGAGGGGUACGCGCAGCGUUAGCUAGUUGGUAAGGUAACGGCUUGCCAAGGCAAGGAGGCGUGGCAGACCUGAGAGGGGGAUCGGCCACACUGGAACUGAGACACGGUCCAGACUCCUACGGGAGGCAGCAGUAGGGAAUCUCCCGCAAUGGGCGAAAGCCUGACGGAGCAACGCCGCGUGAGUGAGGAAGGUCUUCGGAGCGUGAACCUCUGUUAUUAGGGAAGAACAAAUUUGUAAGUAACUAUGCACAUCUUGACGGUACCUCAUCAGAAAGCCACGGCUAACUACGUG